rfam:Planktotalea frisia strain SH6-1 PFRI_contig000143, whole genome shotgun sequence.
UCCAAGGGGUCUGCGAACGCCCCGUGAGGCUUCGGCCCAAGUUUCGCGUCCUAGUUAACCCCCAACAUGGGAGGACGCGACAUG